UUUAGUUUCUUUUUUUUUAUUACAGAGACCCACCACCAUUUGUUUAUUGUCUGUUGAGGCUUGCGGUGCAGGGCUUCUCCUUCCCUCUACAAGUUAGCUAAGGCUUCUUCUUCAUUUUUUACUCACAGCUCUUUCCCUUUUUGAUUCCCCUUGUAUUGUCAGCUCCCUGGCUCGGUGUUCUUGCACUUUGGCUUCUAGCUUCUAUUUUUUAACUAGUCUAUUUAGUUUAGCCUCUGCUUUGACAGCUGCUGUUAGCCUCUACUGAUUCAUAUGUUACGAUGCUCUCUUGAUUUAUUUUAUUUUUUUGGUUACAGGGAGCCGCCGCCAUUUGUUUGUUGUCUACUGAGGCUUGAGGUGCAGGGCUUCUCCUUCCCUCUUCAGCAGGCUUGCGGAGCUGCAACUACCUGCUUUCUCAUACUGUUCUUUCGCCUACAAAACUUUGGCAGCUUAGGCCCCCAAAAUUGUCAUCCGCACACUUAUUUUCGAGGGUUUCAUAGCUGCAACAGAGCAAAAAGAAACCGAUUCCUUUUAACUGAGACCAUUCAAUACGCCCAGAGAAAUAGUAAAUUAAAUAAAGGAUCGGAUGAUGAGAGACUUUGUCAUUCUUCCAUGCUAUGUUUAACUACACAUGCCCACAAUACACAUCUCUCACACAUUCUUUCUCUGUUUAUCAUACUUUAAUUCAUUGUUUCCCCGUCGCAGGGAAACUGGCACUUUCUCUA